rnacentral:lncRNA from 1 species
CAGACAGGAUCUUAGCAUCUGAAUUUUACCUUGGGCUUAGGUUCUGAACUUAAGACAGCAGAUGUGGGGUGAAGUAUUAUUGCACUGCUCUAAAUCCUGGUAAAUGUCUGGCACUUGGGAGCUGCAACCUUGGGGUCGAGGGAAGAUUGUUAACCAACUCUUCAGUACUGCUACAUUACACAUUUCCAAAUUGUUGAAAAAUCUGAUGGAAAUGAAGGUUCUUCAGACCUGUUGAUGGCAUAUUGAAUUAAUGUGAGGGAUGGGGAGGAACACCCUGAAUUGAUUGACCAUCGUGAACCUUCUCCAUGAGGAUCUCAUUAUGAAGUAGGGUUUGAAAAUAAUUUGCAAAGCCAUCAGGGCUGACAAAUCCACCUUGCUUAAAAAACAUUUUCACUGAGAAGGAGGAGUGAACGUUUAAAUAGUGCCUCCCAUGGGCCAGGUACUGUGCUAGCAACUUUUUACAAGUAUCUCAUAUGAGCCUCACAACAACUCUAUUACAUGUAGAUACAGUUUUAAUAAUCAGUGAUCUAUGUUCUCUCCCUUCAUCUCUCUCAUCCCUAAGAAGGGAGAGUCAAAAAGUUGCCCAAGUUUUUCUUCCUGUCACAACACUAAAGAGGAUAAAGACAUCUCUGUGUUAUACCAAAAAUAUCUUCAAGAAAAUAAAUGAGUAUUUGGUCAUUUCCAAGAGGUAGAAAAUAGAAGCAAAAUAAGAAGUGAGCUCCUCUACCUUCUUUCUACUGAUGCUCAUUGCUUUAAGAUAUGGUACAUAUUGGGAAAUGAUCAUGAGGUAAAAACUAAAAAAGUCAAUAAAAUUCAUAUUUUCAGGCA